rnacentral:lncRNA from 1 species
UGAGGUAGCAAAAGCUGGAGAUCAAAGUGUGAUACCUGGAGACUUAUCAGUAAGGGUCAAAUGUUUUUUCAGGUUUUGAGAAUCAUUCUUGGAAUUGUUCCAGAAGAUAUAUCGUAUAACUCUUCUUAGAUGCUAAGAUAAGAAGGCAGAUAUACACUAGCUCAUUUUGUGUUAUUUUCUAGAGCUUUACUCCAGUCAAUUUCUUGGGGGCAGCAUUUGUGGAAUCAGUGGUUCAUCUGAAGGGCUGUGCUGUGGAAUUAC